AAACUUUCAACAACGGAUCUCUUGGUUCUCGCAUCGAUGAAGAACGCAGCGAAUUGCGAUAAGUAUUAUGAAUUGCAGAUUUUCGUGAAUCAUCGAAUCUUUGAACGCACAUUGCGCCCUGUGGUAUUCCACAGGGCAUGCCUGUUUGAGCGUCAUUUCU
rnacentral:rRNA from 5 species